rnacentral:lncRNA from 1 species
CCUUUGCCCUUAAUGACCCAUAAUAAAAUGCUCUUGUUACCAAGCUCUGCUGCCAACCAUGCAGGUUGCCAUGGUAACACCAGCUGCUCCUCCACACAGUUGCUUAGUGAUCAGUGUGAUGUCAGGCUCUUGAGAUAACCACCAGCUCAGACAAAUCUUUACAGUCACAGUGACAGUCCACUGGGUCUUCAGUUAUGACUGAGCAAGGACUCUGGUGUCCAGGUAUAAUUAAAAUACACUCAGACCUAGACUGGAAAAGCCUUCAGCACAGAAUGAGGUCAUCUUUUAAAUUUCACUAUUCACUUUCACUUCUCCACAUGACUGCUUGGUUGGAGUCACUCCAUUUUCUGAGGCUCUGGCUUUAACCUUUCUGGUUACCAUGGCAACGAAGACACACUUCCAUACCAUGAGCUGGAUCUAUGAGGAAGAAUUUCCCACUGUAUGCAUUCUGAAAAAACAUGACAUCGAACAGUUGGACAGAACUGUACAGGAAAACAUCAACUCUCCAAAAUUUACUUUCUUUAUGCAACUGACAUCUCCUAAGCAACAAACGGCUGAAAUUCUUUUCAAAAUCUGCAAGACUUCGUUAUUUUAGGAAAGCCUAGCUUUAAUUACUGUAGAAUGCUUUCUAAUGCUCAAAGACCACCUAAACUCAUUUGAUGCCCUUUUAAACUUUGUUCUGCUAUUAUUAUUUAGAGGAUGAAAUAGAUUUAAAGAGGGUUAUUUGCCCCAAAUAAGUAGUGGAAUUGAAACUUGAACUCAGAUCUUCCAAAUACAACUUACUACUCCUAGACAUGACUGGAGAGAGCUUUUAU